rnacentral:rRNA from 1 species
UACAGAGGUCUCAACCGUUGUUCGGAUUCAUUGGGCGUAAAGGGUGCGUAGGCGGCGGGGUAAGUCAGGCGUGAAAUCUCGGGGCUCAACCCCGAAACUGCACUUGAUACUGCCUCGCUUGAGUACUGGAGAGGAGACUGGAAUUUACGGUGUAGCAGUGAAAUGCGUAGAUAUCGUAAGGAAGACCAGUGGCGAAGGCGAGUCUCCGGACAGUUACUGACGCUGAGGCACGAAGGCCAGGGGAGCAAACGGG